rnacentral:rRNA from 1 species
UACAGAGGUCUCAAGCGUUGUUCGGAUUCAUUGGGCGUAAAGGGUGCGUAGGCGGCGAGGCAAGUCUGGUGUGAAAUCCCGGGGCUCAACCCCGGAACUGCACUGGAUACUGCUUUGCUAGAGUACUGGAGAGGGAACUGGAAUUUACGGUGUAUCAGUGAAAUGCGUAGAUAUCGUAAGGAAGACCAGCGGCGAAGGCGAGUUCCUGGACAGUUACUGACGCUGAGGCACGAAGGCCAGGGGAGCAAACGGG